CUCUGGAGAGAUUCCGGGCUUGCCCGGAGCGCCGAAGGGAUAACGAUCUCAGGCGAAAGGACAGAG
rnacentral:ncRNA from 2 species